rnacentral:lncRNA from 1 species
GCCGACUUUGUCCGGACUCCUACGGGAGCCGGACUUUGCCCACAACUUCAAUUGCAGGUAGACUUCUUCCGGACUCCUACGGGAGUCGGACCUCAUUUUCGACUCCGACUGUAGGCAGACUUCGUUCGGACUCCUAUGGGAGCCGGACUCCGCCCAUAACUUCAAUUGCAGGUAGACUUCGCCCGGACUCCUACAGGAGCCAGACCUCGUCCCCGACCCC